rnacentral:sRNA from 1 species
GCCGGGCACAGUGGUGCAUACUCGUAAUCCCAGCAGCUUGGGAGGCUGAGACAGGAGGAUCACAAGUUCAAACCCAGCCUCAGCAAAAAGCAAAGCUCUAAGCAACUCAGUGAGACUCUGUCUCUA